rnacentral:rRNA from 3 species
UGCCCGGUAGCUAAAUGCGGAAGAGAUAAGUGCUGAAAGCAUCUAAGCACGAAACUUGCCCCGAGAUGAGUUCUCCCUGAGACUUUAAGUCUCCUGAAGGAACGUUAAAGACGAUGACGUUGAUAGGCCGGGUGUGUAAGCGCAGCGAUGCGUUGAGCUAACCGGUACUAAUGAACCGUGAGGCUUAACCUU